GACGAACGCUGGCGGCGUGCUUAACACAUGCAAGUCGAACGGAAAGGCCCUGCUUUUGUGGGGUGCACGAGAGGCGAACGGGUGAGUAACACGCGCGUAACCUGCCCUUGAAUUUGGGAUAACUUCAGGAAACUGGGGCUAAUAUCGGAUAGGAGCUACUGCUGCACGGGGGGGGUUGGAAAGAUGCGGCGGUUGGGGAUGGACUAGCGGCUUAUCAGCUUGUUGGUGGGGUAGUGGCUUACCAAGGCUUUGACGGAUAGCCGGCCUGAGAGGGUGACCGGCCACAUUGGUACUGCGAUACGGCCCAGACUCCUACGGGAGGCAGCAGUGGGGAAUAUUGCACAAUGGGCGGAAGCCUGAUGCAGCAACGCCGCGUGCGGGAUGACGGCCUUCUGGUUGUAAACUGCUGUCGCCUGUGACGAAGCGUGAGUGACGGUAAUGGGUAAAGAAGCACCGGCUAACUACGUG
rnacentral:rRNA from 1 species